rnacentral:rRNA from 1 species
CAAUAGCGUAUAUUAAAGUUGUUGCGGUAAAAAAGCUCGUAGUUGGAUUUCUACCGAAGAUAGCCGGUCGGGUCUUCGACCUUGUAUCUGGUUUUGUCUUUGGUAUCCUCAUAGGGAACGUUUCUGCGCUUUAUUGCGUGGUGCGGUAUCUAUGACUUUUACUUUGAGGAAAUUAGAGUGUUCACGGCAGGCAAACGCCUUGAAUAUAUUAGCAUGGAAUAAUAACAUAGGAUCUUCGUCCUAUUUUGUUGGUUUCUAGGGCUAAGAUAAUGAUUAAUAGGGAUAAUUGGGGGCAUCUGUAUCAACGCGUCAGAGGUGGAAUUCUUGGAUUGCGUUGCAACAAACUACUGCGAAAGCAUUUGCCAAGGAUGUUUUCAUUGA